GUGCUCACUUCAUCAGUACUUACACUAAAAUGACAAUGGCACAGAGAAGAUCAGCAUGGCCCUGUACAAGGAUGACAUGUACAUUCAUGAAGUGUUCCAUUUUUAA
ensembl:snRNA U6 U6 spliceosomal RNA